CCAUACAGACGGCAGAUCAACAGUACCAGGAUGCUUUCAACGACGAGCUGGAGUCAUUUAAGGAGCGGGUUCGCGGCAGGGCAAAGAUCCGCAUAGAAAAGGCCAUGAAGGAGUACGAGGAAGAAGAAAAAGAGAAACGCAUGGGACCAGGCGGCCUCGAUCCUGUGGAAGUUUAUGAGUCUCUGCCAGCAGAGAUGCAGAAAUGCUUUGAUGAAAAGGACAUUCAGAUGUUGCAGGAUG